UGCUCAGCCCUAGGGCCGAGCGGGAGAUGUGCGGCGAGUGCAGAAGGGCGGACCCGGGAUGUCCCGGGUUUUCGAGCGGGGAGCCGCCUGCUGAAUGCCCUUCUGCUGCCCUCCGUUCCCGCGGCUCCCCUAGGAGCCCCGCCCCGUCCAACUCUUACCCGGGCUCAUCGCCGCGGCUCAUCUCUCUCGCAACCGCCGCCGCACGCACCCGCUCCGCCGCCCCGCGCAGGGCAUCCUGUCGCCAGCGCAUCCCUCAGAGGAGUUUCAGCAUUUGGGGAUUUGAACGGCCCAUGACCAAUAUUGUGAAAGGACUUUUGUUUGCUGCAAUGAAAAGAAGACUCCUAUUUUUCAAUAAUGAAUUAACCUAAACAUGUAUUAAAAUAUGCUCAUGAAA
rnacentral:lncRNA from 1 species